AUUGAACGCUGGCGGCAGGCCUAACACAUGCAAGUCGAACGGUAACAGGAAGCAUCUUGCUGCUUCGCUGACGAGUGGCGGACGGGUGAGUAAUGUCUGUGAAGCUGCCUGAUGGAGGGGGAUAACUACUGGAAACGGUAGCUAAUACCGCAUAAUGUCGCAAGACCAAAGAGGGUGACCUUCGGGCCUCUUGCCAUCGGAUGUGCCCAGUUGGGAUUAGCUUGUUGUUGGGGUAACGGCUCACCAAGGCGACGAUCCGUAGCUGGUCUGAGAGGAUGACCAGCCACACUGGAACUGAGACACGGUCCAGACUCCUACGGGAGGCAGCAGUGGGGAAUAUUGCACAAUGGGCGAAAGCCUGAUGCAGCCAUGCCGCGUGUAUGAAGAAGGCCUUCGGGUUGUAAAGUACUUUAAGCGGGGAGGAAGGGAGUAAAGUUAAUACCUUGGCUCAUUGACGUUACCCGCAGAAGAAGCACCGGCUAACUCCGUG
rnacentral:rRNA from 1 species